AUGAUGAUCAAAGAGAUUUGGAACCUUUGUUGUCUUCAUUUCUCUAGAAAAUGUCAAUUUUAUAAUGGUUAAUCCACUAAUUUAUGAAGUAUAUGAAGUUUUACAAAAUUAAUUUAUAAAACAAAAUUGAACGAUGCUCAUGUACCAUGAAAGAUAAUUUAGCAUACAUUAAUACAAAUUUAAAAUGUAGUUAGAAAUUUUAAAACAACUCUAAAGAUUAUAUGUUUCAGUAUAUCAAGCAAUUACCAAAAAUUCGAUAUUUUCGUAGGGGUUAACACAUAGAUUUUGAGAAAAUUUCAAAAAAUAUGACAAUACUGUUUUAAUGCAUAGUUGCAUCCUGCACUAACAUAUGAUGAUCUUCAAAUAUGUUUGGAGCCUUCGAUGUCUCGGUUUUCAAGAAAUUAAUAAUUUUAUAGUGGUUAUUCCACCGAUUUAGAGAGUAUUAUAAAGUUUUACUAAAUUAAUUGAUAAAAAAAAUUAUAACGAUUCCCAUAUACCACGAAAGAGUGUUUAACAUACAUCAAUACAAAUGGAGAAUGUGGUUAGAAAAUUUAAAACAACACUAAAAAAUAUAAGCUUCAGUAUAUAUAGCGUUUAACGUGAAACUCAAUGUUUCGUAGGAGUUAACACAUAGAUUUUGAGAAAAAUUCAAAAAAUAUAACAAUAUUGCUUUAAUGCAUAGUUGCCUCUUGUACUAAUAUAUGCUGAUUAUCAAAGAGGUUUGGAAGCUUUGUUUUCUCCAUUUCUGUAGAGAAUAGCGAUUUUAUAAUGGUUUGUCCACUAAUUUAGGGAGUAUAUGGAGUUUUACAGAAUUAAUCUCUAAAAAAAAUUGAAAGACGCCCAUGAACCAUUAAAAAGAGUUUAGCAUACAUUAAUACAAAUGUAGAAUGUUGUUAGAAAUUUUAAAACAACACUAAAGAAUUUAUGUUUCAGUAUAUCAAGCAAUUACCAAAAACUCAAUAUUUUCGUAGGGGUUAACACAUAGAUUUUAAGAAAAUUUCAAAAAAUAUGACAAUAUUGUUUUAAUGCAUAGUUGCUCCUGCACUAUACAUGUAUGAUGAUAUUCAAAGAUGUUUGGAGCCUUCGAUGUCUCCGUUUUUCAAGAAAUUAGCGAUUUUAUAGUGGUUAGUUCCACCGAUUUAGGGAGUAUAUAAGGUUUUACUAAUUAAUUGAUAAAAAAUUAUAGCAAUUUCCAUAUACCACGAAAGAGAGUUUACAUACAUUAAUAAAAUGUAGAAUGUGGUUAGAAAUUUUAAAACAACACUAAAGAGUAUAAACUUUAGUAUAUAGAGCGUUUAC